rnacentral:lncRNA from 1 species
AGAUUAAAUGUAAAUAAUUCUAAAAAUUUUUCAUUUAUAGAUAGGCUCUUUAACUUCCCCUCUUCCGUUACUCAUACAAUUUAUAAUUUAUUAAAUUUCAAAUAAAUUUAAUUGAACAACUUAAAUUUGAAUUCACAAUAAAUAUUAUUGAAUAACUACUAUUAAGAGUGAUGUGAAGGUUAUUUUGGUAAUUAUGCAUUACAAAAAUUUUUCAUUUAUAGAUAGACUCUUUCACUUCCCUCUUCCGUUACUCAUAUAAUUUAUAAUUUAUUAAAUUUUAAUAAAUUUAAUUAAGCAACUUAAAUUUGAAUUCACAAUAAAUAUUAUUGAAUAACUACUAUUAAUAGUGAUGUGAAAGUUAUUUUGGUAAUUAUACAUAUACCGACAAAAAAAGGAUGAGACGUCAAAUAAAUUUAAUUGAACAU